rnacentral:lncRNA from 1 species
CUCAUCCCCCCAGCACUGACAUCCCCAGCACUGACCCCCCAGCACAGCUCCCUCAGCACUGAUCCCCCCAGCACCGACGUCCAAGCACUGACUUCCCCAGCACUGACCUCCCAGGUACUGACAACCCAGGUACUGAGCCCCCAUCACUGACACUCCAGCACUGACCCCCCACCAGAAUUGCUCCCUCAGCACUAAUCCCCCCACCACUGAUGCCCCCAGCACUGAUGCCCCCAGGUAUGGGUAUGACACCCAUACAACUAACACCCCAACACUGACACUGCCAGCACUAAUGUCCCCAGCACUAACAGCCCUGCACUGACACUCCCAGCACGAACACCCCAACACUGAGACCCCCAGCACUCAUACCUCCAGCACUGACAGCCCUGCACUGACACUCCCAGCACUGACACCCUCAACACUGAGACCCCCAGCACUCAUACCUCCAGCACUGACACCCUCAACACUGAGAACCCCAGCACUCAUACCUCCAGCACUGACACCCCCACCACUGAGACCCCCAGCACUCAUACCUCCAGCACUAACAGCCGGGCACUGACACUCCCAGCACUGACACCCCCACCACUGAGACCGCCAGCACUCAUACCUCCAGCACUGACAGCCCCAACACUGAGACCCCCAGCACUGAGACCCCCAACACUGACACCCCCAGCACUGACACCCCUAACACUGAGACCCCCAGCACUGACACCCCCAGCACUCAUACCUCCAGCACUGACAGCCCCAACAGUGAGACCCCCAGCACUUAUACCUCCAGCACUGACACCCCCAACACUGAGACCCCCAGCACUGACACCCCCAGCACUGACACCCCCAGCAUUCAUACUUCCAGCACUGACAGCCCCAACACUGAGACCCCCAGCACUGACACCCCCAACACUGAGACCCCCAGCACUCAUACCUCCAGCACUGACACCCCCAACACUGAGACCCCCAACACUGAGACUCCCAGCACUCAUACCUCCAGCACUGACAGCCCUGCACUGACACUCCCAGCACUGAUACCCCCAACACUGAGACCCCCAGCACUCAUACCUCCAGCACUGACACCCCCAACACUGAGACCCCCAACACUGAGACCCCCAGCACUCAUACCUCCAGCACUGACAGCCCUGCACUGACACUCCCAGCACUGACACCCCCAACACUGAGUCCCCCAGCACUCAUACCUCCGGCACUGGCAUCCCCAACACUGAGACCCCCAGCACUAACACCCCAACACUGACGUCCCCAGCACUGACACCCCAACAUUGACGUCCGCAGCACUGACACCCCUGGCACUGAGACCCCAGCAGUGACAGCCCCUGCUGUCAAUACAUAACAGUAAUUUGUUAUUUAUUUAUUCUUGGUUAGAACUCACAGAAUAGUACAGAGAACAACAUAGAACCUCUAGGUACUCACCACCUAAAUCCCAAACACAGUAUUUUUCCACACUUCUUUAUUUUCUGAAAUACACAAGGCUGUUCACCCUGGCCUGGGGAGGGUUGUGGAGCCUGUGUUGUUGGAGCAAAGGUUGUUAACUAUUCUGAGUGUUAUCUCUUUUUUCUAUCUAUCACAUAUACAUUGAAACGCUUCCAUCCUUUUCCUCAAGCCAAUGCCCCCACUCUCCGAGGAGACUCUGCUCUGAGUUCGGUGUGUGGAGUUGGGUGACGUUUGGAAAGACAGCAUGCUACACAUAAUGUAAAUGUAACUACUUAUGUUUCCAGAAAUAAACUUCAGUAUUUUAUGCCCU